GAUGAACGCUGGCGGCGUGCCUAAUACAUGCAAGUCGAGCGAACAGACGAGGAGCUUGCUCCUUUGACGUUAGCGGCGGACGGGUGAGUAACACGUAGGUAACCUACCUAUAAGACUGGGAUAACUUCGGGAAACCGGAGCUAAUACCGGAUAAUAUUUCGAACCGCAUGGUUCGAUAGUGAAAGAUGGCUUUGCUAUCACUUAUAGAUGGACCUGCGCCGUAUUAGCUAGUUGGUAAGGUAACGGCUUACCAAGGCAACGAUACGUAGCCGACCUGAGAGGGUGAUCGGCCACACUGGAACUGAGACACGGUCCAGACUCCUACGGGAGGCAGCAGUAGGGAAUCUUCCGCAAUGGGCGAAAGCCUGACGGAGCAACGCCGCGUGAGUGAUGAAGGUCUUCGGAUCGUAAAACUCUGUUAUUAGGGAAGAACAAACGUGUAAGCAACUGUGCACGUCUUGACGGUACCUAAUCAGAAAGCCACGGCUAACUACGUG
rnacentral:rRNA from 1 species